rnacentral:tRNA from 5 species
GGCCCUAUCGUCUAGUGGUUAGGACAUUGGGUUUUCAUCCCAAAAACCGGGAUUCGACUUCCCGUGGGGCCG